AAGGGGCACAAAGGCUACCCAAGCAUACGGCUGACAGCAGCAGAACCUACUUCGUAAGGUUACCGUGAGAAGGAAAUAAGCCGUGUACAGCACACAGGAAUAGCACCUGCACAUCAGAAAUGAAAUGCUCUGACCUUAAAAGGAAUAUUGGAGGCAGGAGGAAACAGAGGAAGCAAGAAGAAUUUCCUGGAAGGUAAUUAUUGUAAUAUAAGCAUACUUCGGAGAUAUUGCAGGUUCCGUUCCAGACCACUGCAACAGUGAAUAUCUCAAUCAACAUCUUCACCAGGAGUAGAUUUUAUCUUAAGAAGCCACUUUCUUUGCUCAUCCAGAAGCUACAACUCCUCAUCAUGAGAUUUCAGCAGUUCAGUUCCAUCUUCAGGCCCUAUUUUUAGUUCUCUUUAGUUCUCUUGCUAUUUCCACGACAUCUGCAAUGACUUCCUCAACUGAAGUCUUGAACCCCUCAAAGUAAUCCAU
rnacentral:lncRNA from 10 species